rnacentral:rRNA from 1 species
UGCAAGUCGAACGAGAUCCAAGGGUUAGCAAUAACCUGGAAGAUCUAGUGGCGAACGGGUGAGUAACACGUGAGGAACCUACCCCGGACUCAGGGAUAACGGCUGGAAACGGCUGCUAAUACCUGAUGCCGUCGGAGCAUCACAUGGUGCACUGACGAAAGAAUCUCGGUUCGGGAGGGCCUCGCGGCCUAUCAGCUUGUUGGUGGGGUAACGGCCUACCAAGGCAUCGACGGGUAGCUGGUCUGAGAGGAUGAUCAGCCACACUGGGACUGAGACACGGCCCAGACUCCUACGGGAGGCAGCAGUGGGGAAUCUUGCGCAAUGGGCGAAAGCCUGACGCAGCAACGCCGCGUGCGGGAAGAAGGCCUUAGGGUUGUAAACCGCUUUCAGUAGGAACGAAAAUGACGGUACCUGCAGAAGAAGGUGCGGCCAACUACGUGCCAGCAGCCGCGGUGACACGUAGGCACCAAGCGUUGUCCGGAUUUAUUGGGCGUAAAGAGCUCGUAGGCGGUUGAGUAAGUCGGGUGUGAAAACUCUGGGCUUAACCCAGAGCCGCCACUCGAUACUGCUCUGACUUGAGUUCGGUAGGGGAGCAGGGAAUUCCUAGUGUAGCGGUGAAAUGCGCAGAUAUUAGGAGGAACACCGGUGGCGAAGGCGCUGCUCUGGGCCGAAACUGACGCUGAGGAGCGAAAGCGUGGGUAGCAAACAGGAUUAGAUACCCUGGUAGUCCACGCCGUAAACGUUGGGCACUAGGUGUGGGUCUCAACCAACGAGAUCCGCGCCGUCGCUAACGCAUUAAGUGCCCCCCUGGGGAGUACGGCGGCAACGCUAAACUCAAAGGAAUUGACGGGGCCCCCCCAGCAGCGAGCGGGUUGCUUAAUUCGAUGCAACGCGAAGAACCUUACCUGGGUUUGACAUGCUAGGAAAAGC